rnacentral:rRNA from 1 species
CCUACGGGGGGCUGCAGUGGGGAAUAUUGGACAAUGGGCGAAAGCCUGAUCCAGUCAUGCCGCGUGUGUGAAGAAGGCCUUCGGGUUGUAAAGCACUUUCAGUGGGGAAGAAAGCCUUGGGGCUAAUACCCUCGAGGAAGGACAUCACCCACAGAAGAAGCACCGGCUAACUCCGUGCCAGCAGCCGCGGUAAUACGGAGGGUGCGAGCGUUAAUCGGAAUUACUGGGCGUAAAGCGCGCGUAGGCGGUCUGAUAAGCCGGUUGUGAAAGCCCCGGGCUCAACCUGGGAACGGCAUCCGGAACUGUCAGGCUAGAGUGCAGGAGAGGAAGGUAGAAUUCCCGGUGUAGCGGUGAAAUGCGUAGAGAUCGGGAGGAAUACCAGUGGCGAAGGCGGCCUUCUGGACUGACACUGACGCUGAGGUGCGAAAGCGUGGGUAGCAAACAGGAUUAGAUACCCUAGUAGUC